UACGUAGGGUGCGAGCGUUAAUCGGAAUUACUGGGCGUAAAGCGUGCGCAGGCGGUUCUCCAAGUCCGUUGUGAAAGCCCCGGGCUCAGCCUGGGAAUGGCAGUGGAAACUAGGGGACUGGAAUCUGGCAGAGGGGGGUGGAAUGCCGCGUGUAGCAGUGAAAUGCGUAGAGAUGCGGCGGAACACCGAUGGCGAAGGCAGCCCCCUGGGCUGAGAUUGACGCUCAGGCACGAAAGCGUGGGGAGCAAACAGG
rnacentral:rRNA from 1 species